rnacentral:rRNA from 1 species
GACGAACGCUGGCGGCGUGCUUAACACAUGCAAGUCGAACGGAAAGGCCCCUUUGGGGGUACUCGAGUGGCGAACGGGUGAGUAACACGUGAGUAACCUGCCCUUGACUUCGGGAUAACUUCAGGAAACUGGGGCUAAUACCGGAUAGGAAUCCUUGCUGCAUGGUGGGGGUUGGAAAGCUUCGGCGGUUUUGGAUGGACUCGCGGCUUAUCAGCUUGUUGGUGGGGUAGUGGCUUACCAAGGCUUUGACGGGUAGCCGGCCUGAGAGGGCGACCGGCCACAGUGGGGCUGAGAUACGGCCCAGACUCCUACGGGAGGCAGCAGUGGGGAAUAUUGCACAAUGGGCGGAAGCCUGAUGCAGCAACGCCGCGUGCGGGAGGACGGCCUUCGGGUUGGAAACCGCUUUCAGCAGGGGCGAAGCUUGUGGUGACGGUACCUGCAGAAGAAGCACCGGCUAACUACGUG